rnacentral:rRNA from 1 species
UGAGUAACCUGCCCUUAACUCUGGGAUAAGCCUGGGAAACUGGGUCUAAUACCGGAUAUGACUCCUCAUCUCAUGGUGGGGGUUGGAAAGCUUUAUUGUGGUUUUGGGUGGACUCGCGGCCUAUCAGCUUGUUGGUGAGGUAAUGGCUCACCAAGGCGACGACGGGUAGCCGGCCUGAGAGGGUGACCGGCCACACUGGGACUGAGACACGGCCCAGACUCCUACGGGAGGCAG